rnacentral:rRNA from 1 species
UACGGGGGGGGUAAGCGUUGUUCGGAAUUACUGGGCGUAAAGGGCUCGUAGGCGGCCAACUAAGUCAUACGUGAAAUCCCUCAGCUUAACUGGGGAACUGCGUGUGAUACUGGAUGGCUUGGAUUUGGGAGAGGGAUGCGGAAUUCCACGUGUAGCAGUGAAAUGCGUAGAGAUGUGGAGGAACACCGAUGGCGAAGGCAGCCCCCUGGGCUAACACUGACGCUCAUGCACGAAAGCGUGGGGAGCAAACAGG